UACGUAGGGAGCAAGCGUUGUUCGGAUUUACUGGGCGUAAAGGGCGCGUAGGCGGCAGAUCAAGUCAGCUGUGAAAUCUCCGAGCUUAACUCGGAACUGUCAGCUGAUACUGUUUUGCUAGAGUGCGGAAGGGGCAAUCGGAAUUCUUGGUGUAGCGGUGAAAUGCGUAGAUAUCAAGAGGAACACCUGAGGUGAAGACGGGUUGCUGGGCCGACACUGACGCUGAGUGCGCGAAAGCCAGGGGAGCGAACGGG
rnacentral:rRNA from 1 species